rnacentral:rRNA from 1 species
AUUGAACGCUGGCGGAAGGCCUAACACAUGCAAGUCGAACGGAGCGGCGGACGGGGGCGUGAUGCCUAGGACUCUGCCUGGUCGUGUGGGAUAACGUCCGGAAACGGGCGCUAAUACCCAAUCCUAUCAGCUGUGCAUAGGUCGGAUUAGCUUGUUGGGGGGGUAAAGGCAUACCAAGGCGACGCUCCGUAACUGUGCUGAGAGGGUGAUCAGUCACACUGGAACUGAGACACGGUCCAGACUCCUACGGGAGGCAGCAGGGGGGAAUAUUGGACAAUGGGCGAAAGCCGGAUCCAGCCAUGCCGCGUGUGUGAAGAAGGUCUUCGGAUUGUAAAGUACUUUAAGUUGGGAGGCGUUACCAACAGAAUAAGCACCGGCUAACUUCGUGCCAGCAGCCGCGGUAAUAC